ACUCGGAUAGGAGUUGGAGAAGUGGAGUCAGACAGGAGCCCUAUGGAGGCUCCAGGGCCUGUGAUCAGGCUGGGCUGAGGCCAGAGGAAAUGCCAUCCCACCUGCAAGCCUGCUCAACUUCUUCAGACCCAGGAUGGGAGCAUCGAGGAAGAACUACAGCCGCCCACCACCCCAGCCCCAACUUAAGUCAUGGCCACUCCUCAGAUAAUAGGUCACUGAAGGGACCCCACUCCCUCCCUCCAGAAAAUGAUUCGGUUCCAAUGCAGAGAAGGCUUUUCAAACCAGAAUCUUUCUCAAAAGUGUCUCCUCAGGACACAGCUCACCGUGCGGUUUCCUGAAGCUCUUUCUGGGUCAAGGUGGGUAAAACACACACAUCCAUAAAUCUGUUUCUGUGUAUACAAAUAGGCUUUGUGCUAUGCCAGUGUUAGUCUAAUAAAGCCCUCUGGCCAACAUCUCCAAUCUCCCUAAACACUCCAAGGAAAAUUUUCUCUUCACCCCACGAGCUAAAGUGCUAGGCACCUCCCUGUCCCCAGGUUGGCCCCCAAGGCUUCCUCUUUCUGAUAGCGCCUCAGAGGGCUGGCCCUGAGCACCCAUCCCCUUCUCUUUUUCUAACUGCCCAGGCCCCAAGCCUGAGGGCAUCCUGGAAGUCCAGCUCUCAGGACCCUACACCUGCCUCCCUUCAUAUGGAUUCCCUGGGCCAUGAAAACUCUCCGAAUCUUCACUGAGUGUUCUUAGUGCUCAGUGCCCUCUUCUAGGCCUGUCCUCACCCCAGCCUACUGCUGGAAGGGAGAAGCGGGGAGACCUUUUCCCCCUCAUACUCUUUUUGUCUGCCUUCCACUACUUGGGGGCCUCUUCAGCAGCCUCCAUCUACCUUCCCUGGGUGGUAUUCCUUUUGAUGAGCCCCAGGGAGGAAGCAAGGAGGAAGAUCCUAAAGGCAAUUUACAGAGGGAGUUAAGUCCUGGCAGGAGAGAUGUGGAGGGCUUGGACCCCAUCUGCCCAGUCCCAGGAAUUGGGCAUAUACACAACUACACAGACCUGCAGCAGUACACACAAACAGUCUUCCACAGAUGUACCUACACAAAUAUACAAUCAGGGGUUCGGUGUCUGGCGGCACAGACACAACAGGUUGCCCAGGUCCAGCUGUGUGUGCACAUACACACACAAGAAGGGCCUGCAUUUGGUUUGUAGGAGAAUAAAAAUCCCAAACAUGCUAUACCUACUAGGUUUGGGGACAAAGUAAAAAUGAAAACAAUCUUGCUGAUGAGACGAAGGUAUCUUCCAGAUCCGAUCAGGGUUCCAACGUUAAGAGGACCCAGCGGAGAGCUGUCUUUGUACUCUGGCUCUGAGGAAGGUUUGUGGGAUAGACCGCGUGUGGCCUGAAAGAACUCAUAUUGCAGGGAACGCCUGGGCUCGAUGCCUGUUAUCUUGUUCAGUGUCUCUGAUUAUAAAUUGAUAAACUGGAAUCUCACCAACAA